UACCCGCAGCACAAGUGGUGGUCAUUAUUAUUGGGCCUAAAGCGUCCGUAGCUGGCUUGUUAGAUGCCUGGGUAAAUCGAUGCGCUCAACGCAUCGAAUUCCGGGUAGACCGGCAAGCUCGAGACCGGGAGAGGUGUAGGGUACUCGGGGGGUAGGGGUAAAAUCCGUUGAUCCAUUGAAGACCACCAGUGGCGAAGGCGGCUUGCCAGAACGCGCUCGACGGUGAGGGAUGAAAGCUGGGGGAGCAAACCGG
rnacentral:rRNA from 1 species